UACGUAGGGGGCAAGCGUUGUCCGGAAUCAUUGGGCGUAAAGAGCGUGUAGGCGGCCCGGUAAGUCCGUUGUGAAAGUCCAGGGCUCAACCCUGGGAUGCCGGUGGAUACUGUCGGGCUCGAGUCCGGAAGAGGCGAGUGGAAUUCCUGGUGUAGCGGUGAAAUGCGCAGAUAUCAGGAGGAACACCAAUGGCGAAGGCAGCUCGCUGGGACGUGACUGACGCUGAGACGCGAAAGCGUGGGGAGCAAACAGG
rnacentral:rRNA from 1 species